UACGGGGGGGGCAAGCGUUGCUCGGAAUUACUGGGCGUAAAGGGUUCGUAGGUGGCUUGUUAAGUCAGACGUGAAAUCCCUCGGCUCAACCGGGGAACUGCGUCUGAGACUGAUGAGCUCGAGUGCAGGAGAGGAACGCGGAAUUCCAGGUGUAGCGGUGAAAUGCGUAGAUAUCUGGAGGAACACCGGUGGCGAAGGCGGCGUUCUGGACUGCAACUGACACUGAGGAACGAAAGCCAGGGGAGCAAACGGG
rnacentral:rRNA from 1 species